UCAUUAUGGUAGUGGGCAUUUCCUUUUCAACACAUGCUGACAGCAGUAGACCAAUCACAACAGAAUGGGACAUCUGACCAAUCAGAGCAGAGUAUGCUCUCUGAAAGGAGGAGUUUAGAAUUAAUCCUUUAGAACAGAUCAUUGAAGGAGUCGUUUGUGACACCGGGGGGAAAGGCUCGACAAUGUUUAAUGUGCUCUGCUGCUUGUUGAAAAACGGUUCUGAGAGGUUUACAGAUCAAGCCAAGCACAAGCAGAUCAUGGGUUUCAGGCAUGCACGUGAUACCGUGCGAUCCCGCAUGAAAUCACAGGAUCCCUUUUCCUUUGAUGCACAUUUUCAAUGGCCACAUUGUCGUUCAUGUGACAUCUUAUUCUCAGCAAAGGAAAAAAUGUGACCUCGAAGGGCCAUAACACUGAGUGAUUUGCAUAAAAUAACAUGUCUCAGAACUUGAGAAUGAGACACAUCAUCUGUGCCUGUAGGGGAGCUGAACCAGAGGGGCACUGAAGCUGAACCAGUAAAGACAAUUUCUAUGAUAUCUUCGUAGUUUAGAAGGAUGUAUUAUAAUUUCUAGCCCAACUGAUGUAAUUAUUUUAAAAAAGGAUUAAGGUCAUAAUUAAUUUAUAUUUUGUCUUUUUACUAAACUCUUAUGCCAUUGCAUUGAUAUAAAUAUUACCAAAUGUGAGCUCUUCAUA